rnacentral:rRNA from 1 species
GAUGAACGCUGGCGGCGUGCCUAAUACAUGCAAGUCGAGCGAACGGACGAGAAGCUUGCUUCUCUGAUGUUAGCGGCGGACGGGUGAGUAACACGUGGAUAACCUACCUAUAAGACUGGGAUAACUUCGGGAAACCGGAGCUAAUACCGGAUGAUAUUUUGAACCGCAUGGUUCAAAAGUGAAAGACGGUCUUGCUGUCACUUAUAGAUUGAUCCGCGCUGCAUUAGCUAGUUGGUAAGGUAACGGCUUACCAAGGCAACGAUGCAUAGCCGACCUGAGAGGGUGAUCGGCCACACUGGAACUGAGACACGGUCCAGACUCCUACGGGAGGCAGCAGUCGGGAAUCUUCCGCAAUGGGCGAAAGCCUGACGGAGCAACGCCGCGUGAGUGAUGAAGGUCUUCGGAUCGUAAAACUCUGUUAUUAGGGAAGAACAUAUGUGUAAGUAACUGUGCACAUCUUGACGGUACCUAAUCAGAAAGCCACGGCUAACUACGUG